AGCCUAUCCACCGAUGAGCCCUGCUCUUGGCAGCACGCACUUCCACGAGCAAUGAUCUACAGUGAUUAUGAGUCUCUUCUGUUUCUAGAUCCAUUUUGCAGCAAAGCAAUUGGAGAUGCAAGAAAGUUACCCACAAAUGUCCAGAGAGUCGCUGAUAGAAUUAGCCUGGAACUCAGGAAUCCUGCUGUCCAUUUCUCUAGUUAACCCCUAGGACCUCUGGUCAAGACUAUCCUUUUGCCGAGUGUAGGAUUGUCUCAGGAGCAUUGAAUCUCAUCUGUCAUAAGGCAUUGCACAGGAAAGAAAUAGCUCUGUAUGAAGAAAGGGCUCGAUCCCAGGACUCCUCCACUCCCAGGUGAAUUAACACUGCAGCAGUGGCGCUGCUGCAACAGGAAGCACUGAAAACUUCCUCCUGCUGCUUGAGACAUGCUGUGGAAGGAAGGAGAUGCGAGUCUGCACAACCCAGCGCUCUGAGCACCGCAUCCCACUUCCGAGGCCUUCAGUGGACCCCGAUUUGACUUAAUACAGCCCAAGCACUGACCUCC